CACUCCGGAGAGCCCCCCCCCCCCGGGCGUCCGCCUCUUCUCCGGGUGCGGGGUGCAGGUGGAGACUCCAGCUGUGGAGGGGACCCCCAGGUUCGAGAUAAUGCCCAGCUGCCUGUUGGAUGGGUAAUCUAUUUUAAUAUGGACUCUGGGAUAGGCUCAGCACACGCCAGACAAGUGCUCCAUGCCAGACAAGUGCUCCAUGCCAGAGAAGUGCUCCAUGCCAGAGAAGUGCUCCAUGCCAGAGAAGUGCUCCAUGCCAGACAAGUGCUCCAUGCCAGACAAGUGCUCCAUGCCGGACAAGUGCUCCAUGCCAGACAAGUGCUCCAUCGUGAAACUCCAGCCCCAGGCCUUUUCCUUUCGCCUGUGGUUUUGUUUUGAGAUAGGGUCUUGCUCAGUCACUCAGUGUGGCCUUGAACUCAAAACCCUCCUCCAGCACCUCAGGAGCAGCAGGAGUCCCAGACCAUGAUGACCAGAACUGUCUUAUUACAGUGCACAUUGAAGGCAGAGGUCCCGUUAAUGCAUUCCUUUGUCUAGAGGACUGAGGCUUUACCAGUAAUUAGCAUUGACAUUGGCCCCAACUUGAGCUGGUGUGCAGAUCCGCAGGGAUCUAUGUACCAAACUCAAGGAAUUCUGAGGGGAGGCUUGGGAUCGACAGCAUGAAGGAGUGUCCUUAAUUAAUCUCUACUAAUUCUUAAAGGAAGCUUCCACUUAUCAGCUAUUUACAUGUACUUAAAUAGAUUUAUGUAUUACAUUAUCUAGUUUGACAAACUCAGCCUGUAAAACAUGGAUAAUUUAAAAUGACUGAAGACAGCAGAAACAUUAUGGACAGCAGUAUAUUCUCAGAAAAGCCCUUCAAAAUCUGUAAGUGCCUUUGAAAAUGGAACAAUUAUAAUUUUAUCCAAUCAUAUCCUUCACUUGCAUGUGCAGCUCCCUGGGAAGCACAGUUAGAGGCUCUCAGAGCCAUCACCCUAAACAUCAAAAUCGACUGCUGUCACUCAGAUUUAUUAAGUGACCUUAUCACAACACAGCUUCUCCAAAUUAGCCAUGUGUGGUGAAGCUCACAUGUCAUCCCUGUACUCAGGAGCCUGAGGCUUGGGGAUGGCAAGUUGGAGGCCCUGUAAAUAAUGAAUUUGAUAUCAGCCUUCACUGCUUAGGAAUAGGCUGUCUCAAACAAACAAAUAAAAAGUUCCACUGGGCGGUGGUGGCGCAUACCUUUAAUCCCAGCACUCGGGAG